CUUUUAAUGUAUAUACAGUACAGCAAUACUUGUUAGAUCCAAAGACAUAUAAUACAUGUGGCUAUGAAUGCAGAGUUUCUUAUUAAUCCUCUGGGAUGUAAUGGAACAUAUGGUCCUCAUGGAAACAUCUUGAAGUGAUAAUUUACUGUUCCCACUGAAGCUAUAAAGAAAAGGUGCAAAAUCCAAUUCCAUAUAAGCAGAAGAAUCAAGAGAUAAUACAACUAAUUUAAAGUGUGGAGAACAUCUUUAAAUGCACUCUUCAAUAAUCUAAAUGUGGGUUAAUUCCCACCCAGCAGGAAUCCUUGUAAUGAAAAUAUUCAAGACUAUUUGCAGAGAAAAGCUUAAAUGAUCUGAGCACAAUUUUUUAAAACUUCUCAAAAUGAGGUAUCAAAAUGUAUACAAACAUUUGAAAACCGAACUUUUAAAGCCUCGACAUACUUCUAAAAGUAUCUAAUGAUCAUAUUUCUAAGACUGAUUUCCCUUUCUUUUAUUAUUUUUAGAUUUAUUGCUUUCACCAAAGCUAUGAAGAAAAUAUACAGAAUCCCAUCUUAUUUAAGGAGAGAUUUUAUUGUCCAUAGAUUGAUAUAUCAGGAUGCUGAUUGAAUCCAUGGAUGGAGAAUGCAUAGAUAUGG
rnacentral:lncRNA from 1 species